rnacentral:rRNA from 1 species
UACGUAGGGUGCGAGCGUUAAUCGGAAUUACUGGGCGUAAAGUGUGCGCAGGCGGCCGAGCAAGUCGAGUGUGAAAGCCCCGAGCUUAACUUGGGAACUGCGCUCGAAACUACUUGGCUAGAGUGUGGCAGAGGGAGGUGGAAUUCCACGUGUAGCGGUGAAAUGCGUAGAGAUGUGGAGGAACACCGGUGGCGAAGGCGGCGUUCUGGACUGCAACUGACACUGUAAAACGAAAGCCAGGGGAGCAAACGGG